AGGAGUUUGAUCCUGGCUCAGGACGAACGUUGGCGGUGCGCUUAAUGCAUGCAAGUCGAGGGAGAACCUUUCGAUCCGUAAGGACCGAAUGGGGAAACCGGCGAACGGGUGCGUAACACGUGAGGAACCUGCCCCGAAGACCGGGAUAGCCCGAGGAAACUCGGAUUAAUACCGGAUACCCUCCUCGGACCACAUGGUCUGUUGAGGAAAUGGUCCGCCGCUUCGGGAUGGCCUCGCGGCCUAUCAGCUUGUUGGUGAGGUAACGGCUCACCAAGGCAAAGACGGGUAGCUGGUCUGAGAGGACGAUCAGCCACACUGGGACUGAGACACGGCCCAGACUCCUACGGGAGGCAGCAGCAGGGAAUAUUGCACAAUGGGCGAAAGCCUGAUGCAGCGACACCGCGUGCGGGAUGAAGGCCCUCGGGUUGUAAACCGCUUUCAGGAGGGACGAAAAUGACGGUACCUCCAGAAGAAGGCCCGGCCAACUACGUGCCAGCAGCCGCGGUAAUACGUAGGGGCCAAACGUUGUCCGGAUUUAUUGGGCGUAAAGGGCUCGUAGGCGGUUCAACAAGUCGAUCGUGAAAGCCCGGGGCUCAACCCCGGGACGCCGGUCGAAACUGUUGUGACUAGGGUCCGGUAGAGGUGAGUGGAAUUCUCGGUGUAGCGGUGGAAUGCGCAGAUAUCGAGAGGAACACCAGU
rnacentral:rRNA from 1 species